UUUGUUUUCAUUACUGAAGAGUAGAAAAAAGCACGCAUGUAUAUAAACAGCAAAUACUUCAGUUGAACUUGAGGUCUUAGAUGAAAUUUACACUAGAUAUCAAAAUGCAGGGACAGAUAGGAAAAAUAUUUUGUGAAGAAAAAGCAGAGGAUUUUUAUAUUGCUGAAAAUAUACAUAGAAUUGUCCACAUGAAGAUUGGGCUUAUAAGGAAAAGUCUGGGUAAAAUUUCAGGAUUUAAGAGAAUACCAAUAAAGUGAAGAUUGACAUUAACCAGACCAGGCUAUAAAUACCACACAAAGAGACCAAACAAGUCCUCCCCUGACAGGUCUGACCACCUCUCCCCUUCUAUAAUGAACAACACUGGAAAGAAACCUGUUGUUCUUUCUGGAUCAGCGAAACUUAAUACGUUAGUUAGAGAACUUUUGUUUUUGGACGAUUUUGCAUUUGCGAAUUUACCUAAUACCGUCCUACUGAUAUGUUUUAGUGCGGAGGAGGAAGCCACUUUCAUGUUUAAGGAAAAGCUUUAAUUGCCUGUACUCUAAAAAAGGAAAACGUUAACAUGGAGUAAUUCCUUCAACCACUACCCUUGUAACUUCUUCUGACCACAUUUGAUGCUGGUAAGAUCCAAAGUUUUCACCAGAGAAUGUCGAUAACAUCUGUAUUCCUGUUAUCAUUUUCUAAAAUGGCACUGAAACUAUUUGUCCAGUUCAGAUUGGAAUACUAAAUUUUACUAUAUCUUUAUUAUUGCACAUUACUUUUAUUUUCUCUCUGCAUCUUCUAGGCAAGUUGAGGUCAGAGAUUAUUGCUUAUCUGCUUUUGGUUAGCCUAGUAGUUGUACUAGAGUAAGUAUUCAAUAAAUAAUUUUAAAAUGAACAAAUGAAUAAAUGUAUUGUGCUGCAG
rnacentral:lncRNA from 10 species